rnacentral:rRNA from 1 species
GAUGAACGCUGGCGGCGUGCCUAAUACAUGCAAGUCGAGCGAACAGACGAGGAGCUUGCUCCUCUGACGUUAGCGGCGAACGGGUGAGUAACACGUGGAUAACCUACCUAUAAGACUGGGAUAACUUCGGGAAACCGGAGCUAAUACCGGAUAAUAUAUUGAACCGCAUGGUUCAAUAGUGAAAGACGGUUUUGCUGUCACUUAUAGAUGGAUCCGCGCCGCAUUAGCUAGUUGGUAAGGUAACGGCUUACCAAGGCAACGAUGCGUAGCCGACCUGAGAGGGUGAUCGGCCACACUGGAACUGAGACACGGUCCAGACUCCUACGGGAGGCAGCAGUAGGGAAUCUUCCGCAAAGGGCGAAAGCCUGACGGAGCAACGCCGCGUGAGUGAUGAAGGUCUUCGGAUCGUAAAACUCUGUUAUUAGGGAAGAACAAAUGUGUAAGUAACUAUGCACGUCUUGACGGUACCUAAUCAGGAAGCCACGGCUAACUACGUG